rnacentral:lncRNA from 7 species
GUGUGUGUACGUUUGGUUUGGUUUUGUUUUUCUUCUCACUCUCUUUUUCAGAAAUGUAGCAACAAGCAACUAACCCAUGUGGGCUGCCACCCUCCUCACGUUGCCUGCUGAGCAUGGGCAAAGCACGCCUUUGCGAGGGGAUCGGCCCUGUCACACAGAAUUUGCUGAUGCUGCAGCAUUUCCCUGCAGGCUGUUCAGAUUUUUUUCCUCCUCUCCUUUUCCAUAUGGGUAAGAAUAAAGUGAAGAAACAACAUUUUCAGAGAAGAAAGACUUGGAAAGAGUUUCUGUUUUCUGGGAGUCUGCUACAGCUGUUAAUUUGUGGAAAACCUCAGUGGAAAGUAAGCAAUAUGGCAGCAUCACUUUACACGAGAAUUCAGUGAUGGCCUUGCUCCAAGCUGUGGCUGAUUUAGGUUCUUGGCUUGCGCAGCCAAAGCUUCAUGUAGUGUCAUGCUUUUUUAUAGAUAAUGUUGAUACAGCUGUGGAAGGCUCUGAUGUUCUUUUUUUUUUUUUUAACAUGGAAUUGUCGUCAUUCAAUCAAGCUUAAGUAUUGUGGAGCUGUGAUGUUGUUUGUCUUUGGUUGUUAGUUGUUGGCGGGUGAGUCCGAGACGGGCCGAGAUGUUGUUUGGGAAAAAGAAAAGACUCCCUCCCUUCCUCCCUGCCUUCUCCACAGAAAUGCACACAGACCAUAACUUCCAUCCAAAAAUGCAGGAAUGCUGAGAAAAAUUGGAGCUGGACUCGAACAUUGCGGGCUGGGCUCCCCCACUCCCCGGCCUCUCCAAAGCACGCACGCUCUUCUCUUCCUGUAGACUUUGUUCCUCUCCAGCAUUUGUCAUGCAUAGUUGGUGGCACAUCAAGAUUUUGAAUACUGUACUGAAUGCAACAACCUCUUUUUUUCUUGGAUGGACAUUUUGUUUGCGGGGAAUACAGCAUGGUGCUCAGCUGUCUGGACAGAAAUGAACAUUGAAUGAAAUGAAAUUUUCAGCUAUGUGACAGCUAUUAGAUCAGAGAUUAGUUUUCCAGUAGAAAUGUCCAAUUAUUUAAACCUCUCCGGUAG